CUGGUUGUCCUCUGUUUGCAGAGCGGCCUCUGCUUGGUCUAGUGCCUCUAAAUUGCACAAUGGCAAGCCGAAGGGCACCCCCAGCUGAGGUCCCACUGGCGCUACAGCCUGGCCACACCUGCAGGACUGGUGGAAUUCUCGGAACUCCUGCCGCAGGUCCCUGACUUCUUUGGUCAGCUCACUUACAGCACUGAGGAGUACACUCGUCUUCGGACUGAAUGUCUGUUGUGUCACAGUCUCCGCUGAGAUACCUGGACAGCCAUUUGUUUGCCUCAGCAUGGUCACCUACAUUACAGUACAACAUCCAGACGUCUGAGUCAAACCCACCAUGGCUGCUGAGGACCUUCACAGGCUUAUGAAUCUGCCAUCCAGGCCUUGGCUGCUCCCUGUUUCUGAUGACUGAAUG